rnacentral:rRNA from 1 species
GACGAACGCUGGCGGCGUGCUUAACACAUGCAAGUCGAACGAGAGGAGAAGGAAGCUUGCUUCUUUCAAAUCUAGUGGCAAACGGGUGAGUAACACGUAAACAACCUGCCUUCAGGAUGGGGACAACAGACGGAAACGACUGCUAAUACCGAAUACGUUCCUUAGGUCGCAUGACUUUAGGAAGAAAGGGUGGCCUCUACUUGUAAGCUAUCGCCUGAAGAGGGGUUUGCGUCUGAUUAGGUAGUUGGUGAGGUAACGGCCCACCAAGCCGACGAUCAGUAGCCGGUCUGAGAGGAUGAACGGCCACACUGGAACUGAGACACGGGCCCAGACUCCUACGGGAGGCAGCAGUGGGGAAUCUUCCGCAAUGGACGAAAGUCUGACGGAGCAACGCCGCGUGAACGAUGACGGCCUCGGUUGUAAGUU